UCGAGCGGACAGAUGGGAGCUUGCUCCCUGAUGUUAGCGGCGGACGGGUGAGUAACACGUGGGUAACCUGCCUGUAAGACUGGGAUAACUCCGGGAAACCGGGGCUAAUACCGGAUGCUUGUUUGAACCGCAUGGUUCAAACAUAAAAGGUGGCUUCGGCUACCACUUACAGAUGGACCCGCGGCGCAUUAGCUAGUUGGUGAGGUAACGGCUCACCAAGGCAACGAUGCGUAGCCGACCUGAGAGGGUGAUCGGCCACACUGGGACUGAGACACGGCCCAGACUCCUACGGGAGGCAGCAGUAGGGAAUCUUCCGCAAUGGACGAAAGUCUGACGGAGCAACGCCGCGUGAGUGAUGAAGGUUUUCGGAUCGUAAAGCUCUGUUGUUAGGGAAGAACAAGUACCGUUCGAAUAGGGCGGUACCUUGACGGUACCUAACCAGAAAGCCACGGCUAACUACGUGCCAGCAGCCGCGGUAAUACGUAGGUGGCAAGCGUUGUCCGGAAUUAUUGGGCGUAAAGGGCUCGCAGGCGGUUUCUUAAGUCUGAUGUGA
rnacentral:rRNA from 2 species